GGGGAAUAUUGGACAAUGGGCGAAAGCCUGAUCCAGCCAUGCCGCGUGUGUGAAGAAGGUCUUCGGAUUGUAAAGCACUUUAAGUUGGGAGGAAGGGCAUUAACCUAAUACGUUGGUGUCUUGACGUUACCGACAGAAUAAGCACCGGCUAACUCUGUGCCAGCAGCCGCGGUAAUACAGAGGGUGCAAGCGUUAAUCGGAAUUACUGGGCGUAAAGCGCGCGUAGGUGGUUCGUUAAGUUGGAUGUGAAAUCCCCGGGCUCAACCUGGGAACUGCAUUCAAAACUGCCGAGCUAGAGUAUGGUAGAGGGUGGUGGAAUUUCCUGUGUAGCGGUGAAAUGCGUAGAUAGAGGAGGGAACAGCAGUGGCGAAGGCGACCACCUGGACUGAUACUGACACUGAGGUGCGAAAGCGUGGGGAGCAAACA
rnacentral:rRNA from 1 species